rnacentral:rRNA from 1 species
UGAAGAGGGAAGAGCUCAAAUUUAAAAUCUGGCAGUGUUUUGCUGUCCGAGUUGUAAUCUAGAGAAGUGCUGCCCGUGCUGGACCAUGUACAAGUCUCCUGGAAUGGAGCGUCACAGAGGGUGAGAAUCCCGUCUUUGACAUGGACUACCAGUGCAUUUGUGGUGUGCUCUCAAAGAGUCGAGUUGUUUGGGAAUGCAGCUCUAAAUGGGUGGUAAACUCCAUCUAAAGCUAAAUAUUGGCGAGAGACCGAUAGCGAACAAGUACCGUGAGGGAAAGAUGAAAAGAACUUUGGAAAGAGAGUUAAACAGUAUGUGAAAUUGUUGAAAGGGAAACGCUUAAAGUCAGUCGUGUCGGCCAGGGAUCAACUCAGCUUUCUCUGCUGGGUGUACUUCCUGAUCUGAUGGGCCAACAUCAGUUUUGACUGCUGGAGAAGGGCAGAGGGAAUGUGGCACCUUCGGGUGUGUUAUAGCUCUCUGUCAGAUGCAGUGGUUGGGACUGAGGAAAGCAGCAUGCCGCAAGGCCGGGUCGUUUCGACCACGUUCAUUGCUGAGGAUGUUGGCAUAAUGGCUUUAAUCGACCCGUCUUGAAACACGGACCAAGGAGUCUAACAUGCCUGCGAGUGUUUGGGUGGCAAACCCGAGUGCGGAAUGAAAGUGAAAGGUUGAGAUCCCUGUCAUGGGGAGCAUCGAUGCCCGGACCUGAGCUUUUAGCAAAGGAUCUGCGGUAGAGCAU